GGGAUGCCCUCUUCCCUCUCUAAACUAUCUAUUCGCCAAUGCUCAUUGCUCGAACCACUCCUAGAAUUUGACAAGGGGAGGUACUGGCCAGAAGUUGCUCAUAUUCCUGAAAUAUAUAUUGAUGAGGAAGUCAUGUGAUGACUAAAACAAAUUGCGCUCCGGCAGAUAAUGGAAAUUAUUCACCGUCAUGAAAGCUGUUACAUGUAAGUGAACAUGUUUUUUCAUUUCAGUAGCUUUUUGUUUUUCGUCCAGAGAUGAAGAUCGUGCUAUUAGAAACACUACUUACUGUCUAGAUAACUUGACAGUUAUCUUUGAAAACUUCUCCUUGCUUUUUCAUUACUGCAAGAGUCGUUCAAUCAGUUUGCAGAAUCACCAAGAAGUGCACAAAUGCGCGAAAAAAUGAAAUCUCUAUUUCACAAUCAGGUAAUAUGUUUUGCUUAUUCCCUGUUAUAAGACUACAUCAAAGCUUGGAAAGCAAAGAUUUUGAAGGAAAAUUUUCAUACUCGGUUCUUUUAAAGUCUAGAUAACUUGACAGUUGAUUCCAUGGAAUUCGCCUUUGCUUGCCUAUUAGCUUGAUUUGGCAUUUGAUCCAUUGGCAUUGUAGGAGUUGUUCAAUCGCUGAGUUGCAUAUAUAUAUCAUUGACAUAAUCUCCAAUCGCUUCCAGAACCACCAGACUGACCUCUUCCAUAUCUGAACUAUGUAUUUCCAACAGCCUGUUGCUCGAACCACGUCUAAAAUUUGAGGAGGGGGAUUACAUGCUAUAUAUUACUUAUAUCUCCUACAUCGAGAUUGGUUGGGAGUCCCUGCAAUGAAUAAAAUAGGUGGUGCUCUGAUAAAUAGCAGGGUGUAGCGUCUAUUGCCACUGUGAAGCCAAGAGAGGAUCUUCAGAUUAGCAUGAAAAAUGAAAAAUAAAAGUUACUUGAGAAAGGAGGAUGAAGUUUAGAGCUGCACAUGUUCACACUUGUGCUUUGAUAACGAGUAGAAUCUUAUUGUCCUCCGGAGCUGCAGAGUCUCCAAUAGAAUAUCCAAGGAUUUUGGUAACAAUAUGCUCAUAGCUCAAUUGGUGAAAGGAAAAUCAUGUUAGCAUUCUCCCUUGAAAGGACAAUCACCUCGACUGUGGUCUGGGAGCAAACUGUAAGUGAAGAUAAGUGCUUCUCUUUUGUGUGGAAUUUGACAGUAUUACUCUUUGAUCAGAAUAUCUGGACUACAAUUUUUUUUUUGGUUGGAUAACCGUGGUGUCCAGGCCAGCUUUCGCACACCUCGACUAAAUCCACGGGAUACCUUCCACCUCCCACCAGCAACAGAUAUAAAGUAACUCUGUCGCCCCAGGCUAGAUGGGAAGAAUCACCUAGGUUUUUUUCGUCUUCGCUGAGGUUUGAACCAACCCACUUCAUUGACCAUUAGGCCACACCCUUGGGUGUAUAUCUGGACGAAAGGUGUUUCCCCUACUUGUGGAAUAGGGGGGAUUCCUUGUUAUUAAGGUGUCAAGGUGCUUGAAAGUCACGAGCGGAAGCAACCGCUACUUUGAUCAUUCAAUUGACUCUUUUCUGCCAGUCCGUGCUUGCUGUCAUGCUGGAAAAAGCAGGGAUGUCGGUCAGUUAUACCUACUAUUGGAUUUUUCAGAUCAAUUCUUCGCUGCAAUCACUUUGAUCCACCCAAAUUCCGUAAUUCUUUUACUACUGUUGACUAUUCAGCAUUUAGAUUUGGCUGUUCAAACAUUCAAAUUUUCCACCAAAUAGAAAAUUUCACUUGAUUGCACCAACGAAUCACAAAGCAUUGCCUCUCAAAUCAAUCAGUAAGUGUUUGUUCUCGUUUCAAGUUAUAUUAAACCAUGAUCUUCUUCUCUUCCUUGACAGCCAUGCUUGAAGUUUCAUUUCCAAUUGAAAGAUGUGUAUUUGGUGGUACGUCAGAACAAACACAAUAUAGAAUCACUUCAGAAGACGACCAUUCAAUGUCUAGGGAAUCAAGUCGUCUUAGUUAGGAAUUGACUGCAAUACAGUCUCCAUUGUUGUCUCAGUUAAGAGUUCUUAUUUAAUGAAUGUGAGUGUAGUUUUGCCUGAAUCAUAUCAAAAGAGACUGUCCUUUUCCACCAUUCAUAUAAGGCUUAUAACUUUUUUCGUUAUUUUACAUCUGUCUGUGUGCAUGAAGUUUCAUCGCAAUAGCAAUUCUCUGAAUUUUCCUUGGGCAAGGAAGAAGUGCUUCGGGGUAAUGAUUGUGCAUAAUCAGUGUUGAUAAAGGUCUUACUUCAUCCCUCUACAUUCUGGCAAUCCUUAAUUUCACUAUCUCUGAAUCAUGUAUGUACGACAUCCAUUACGUGUUUAGAGGAAUCAUUCAUGCUUAGCUAUAGACACAUGGGUUGGUCCAGUAAUUGUAAUACCUAAAAUGGCUAAAACCCCUAAUAUUUCUUUCUUUUUUUUUUAAUUUGCUGUCAGUUAGGUUAUCUUUGAGUCAGGAGGCUGUGAUUUCCAAGUCGUACAACCAUCUAUUUUGGCUUGCUUGAGAUAUAUGAAGCAUGAUUUGCUGCAAAUGGAACAUACAGCUUGUAUUGUUGGCUUCUGGUUGAUUAGGCUCGCGCGACUUUAAAAUUUGUCACAAGGGUCUAAGGCUCACUUCUUUAUAUACUAACAAUCAACGUCUCUCAAGUGUUUUGUCGAUAUGACAUUUGUCUAGGAUGUGACAAUGACUUUCUUGUUACUCUGAAUAUGUCUGAGCCAACGAAAAUCAAAAGAUGACAUGAUUAUUAUUGGUUCUCUAGUAUUGAGAAAUCUGAGUUUGAGCUACGUGUAUUUGCUUAUCAUGUGUUUUAAGAUAGUAUAAUCACUUUCUAAUUUCUAUGCUCACUGUGAAAAAAAAAAAAUAGGAUCUAGUUACAAAGUUUAUUACUAAUUUAUUGUUAUAUGGUUUGUAAUAUGUUGCAACUAUAGUGCAA